GACCUGGUAGCACAGUGUCGAAUGCAUCUGCAAUAUAUUCACUCUCACUUUGAAACGCUCAGCAGAAGACCCUCGUUCGAUUCGGGGUCAGGUCA